rnacentral:rRNA from 1 species
UACGUAGGGGGCAAGCGUUGUCCGGAAUUAUUGGGCGUAAAGCGCGCGCAGGCGGUCGUUUAAGUCUGGUGUUUAAUCCCGGGGCUCAACCCCGGUACGCACUGGAAACUGGGCGACUGGAGUGCAGUAGAGGAGAGUGGAAUUCCACGUGUAGCGGUGAAAUGCGUAGAUAUGUGGAGGAACACCAGUGGCGAAGGCGACUCUCUGGUCUGUCACUGACGCUGAGGCGCGAAAGCGUGGGGAGCAAACAGG